GUGCUCCGGUGUACAGAGGCUGAGGACAGAGGAAGGACAAACCUCCUUGCCUUUAAUUUUGCUGAGGGUGUAAAAUGAGUCGAGGCUUUCUGCAGUCACUAUUCUAUUCAUAUCUUUUGUGUCCGAUGCUAUUUUUGUUGGCUGUGCCCCUGGAGGUGGAGGUGUGGAAGUGCGUUUUUGCUGGUCUUUGCAAGCGGUGUAGAUGUUUCCUCUGUUCCAGGCACCACCUCAGACGCUGCGGCCUUACAGGAGGAGUAGGCGGAUGUCAGCGUGGCCAUUUCUCACCUGUCUGUAACUUUUUAAUACUUCCUUUUAUUUUGGCUUUGCAUUUCUUCCAUGGAACGAACAUCUCUGGGUAGCCACUGGGAGUUGUAAAUGGCUUGGGAUGGAAACCACAGCUUGUAGGUGCGCCCUCUGCCAGGCUUUUCUGGCACCCGAGGAAGCCCAGCCUCUGCCUGCUCCCAAGCGAAAGGGAUAUUACCAGCUGCUCGGUGAGAAAACAAAUUCACAGAGAUACAGGAAAGUGUGUUAAGUUGGUGGGAAGCAACGGGCGUGAGAUUCCUGGCAGCUCCGGUGACUGACAUUAUUUUGGAACCCGAUUCUCAAACAUCUGGGAUUAGCUCUCCUGGAAAUGUGAGGACAUGGGCCCUCUAGUGCCACUUGGAAAAUGCCAGUAUCCCAGCCCACAGUUCUGCAAGGGAGGUGUUAUUUGGCAAGUCUCCUGCAUGUGGCCGGUCCAAUUGGAUAAUAGGUCCAGCAGUAACUCCUAGCAACAGGAACUCUUCCCCUUCAGUGGUUGCUUGAUGCCCUGUGUGAAAUGAGAGUUCAGCCAAUGGUAUAGGCACUUCUUAGUGAACAAGUAUCUACACAUGUAAUUCUGCAGUAACUGGUGUCUCUGUGUCUGCCAUUCUCCCUUGCCAGCCCAGCAGAGAUAACUGAAAUUACCUGGAAAUAAAUUUUUCCAUCAAAGUGUCCUUCUAGCUGAGGCUUUGCUGCAAUAACAGCACGUGCACAACUUGUGCUGCUUAGUUUAUCUUUGGAUGGACAAUUGCUAUCUCCAGGCCUACAGAGUAAGCAUUGUUAGAUAUAUUAAAAUAAUUUUUUAAAAGUCUUCUGACUCCAAAGUUCCCAGCCUUUCAGUUUAUGUAUAUCCAGCUGGGAAAUCAUGCCCACUAAUUUUUACUGAAGUUUGCAGUUGAUUGACCCACCAGUACAAUGCCAGGAUGCUGGGUAGACUUGUGCAGCUCCUCCGAAGUUCAGGUGCGUUCAAGAUGCAUGGCUCAAAGAUG